CCUACUAUGAAGUCGGAAUUGCUGUAAUCGCGGAUCAGCAUGCCGCGGUGAAUACGUUCCCGGGCCUUGUACACACCGCCCGUCACACCAUGAGAGUCGAUAACACCCGAAGCCUGUAGUCUAACAGCAAUGAGGACGCAGUCGAAGGUGGGAUUGAUAAUUAGGGUGAAGUCGUAACAAGGUACC
rnacentral:rRNA from 1 species